rnacentral:tRNA from 1 species
UCUUCCUUAGUCUAGUGGUCAGGAUACCUGCUUGUCACGCAGGUGGCCCGGGUUCAAUUCCCGGAGGGAGAG